rnacentral:misc_RNA from 1 species
AAGUCGUAACAAGGUUUCCGUAGGUGAACCUGCGGAAGGAUCAUUGCGGGGGAGUGGGGUGUGUUCUAGCUUUUUCUUUUGAGGAAGAUGGAAAGCAGCCCACACGAGCACGGGCACACAGCAGUGCCCGAUGUCAGCGCUUGCGAGUUUGACAAAAGGGUGGCGACAAGAAAGGACGACUUUUAACAAUGGAUCUCUUGGCUCUU